rnacentral:rRNA from 1 species
GACGAACGCUGGCGGCGUGCUUAACACAUGCAAGUCGAACGAGUGGCGAACGGGUGAGUAACUCGUCGGUGAUCUGCCUUGCACUUCGGGAUAAGCUUGGGAAACUGGGUCUUAUACCGGCUAGGGCAAGAUGGGCUCGCGGCCUAUCAGCUUGUGUGUGGGGUAAUGGCUACCAAGGCGCGACGGGUAGCCGGCCUGGGAGGGUGUACGGCGACCAUGGGCCUGAGGGACGGACCAGACUCCUACGGGGGGCAGCAGUGGGGAGUAUUGCACAAUGGGCGGACGCCUGAUGCAACGGCGCCGGGUGGGUGAUGAAGGCCUUCGGGUUGUAAACUCCUUUCGGCAGAGACGCGUUACCUGUAGAAGAAGCACCGGCUAACUACGUGCCAGCAGCCGCGGUAAUAC